rnacentral:misc_RNA from 1 species
AAAUGCGAUAAGUAGUGUGAAUUAUAGAAUUUAGUAAAUUAUUAAAUUUUUAAACGCAUAUUACGCCCUUUGGUAUUCUAUAGGGUAUGCCUAUUCAAGCGUUAUCUACACCCUUAAGCUCUACUUGGUGUUGGGCGUCUGUCCCGCCUUUAUAUGUGGACUUACUCUAAAUGUAUUGGUAGCGGUCCUUGUUCCCUCCUGCGUAGUAUAUUGCGCUUCUUGAGGCUGCGGCGGCCUGCGUUCAAUAAGCUGAACCCCCCCAUCUUUAACCUCGGAUUAGGUAGGGAUACCUGCUGAACUUAAGC